GCCAUAAAGAAUUAUAAUUAACAAACUAUGUACAUCGAUAUCUCACCAAUUCACAUUAAAAAUAGGGAAUUUGCAGUAGAUAGCGUAGAAAGAAAAUUUAAUUAAGGAUAUGGAAAGUGUACUGUACAUUUCUCAUAAUUCCACAGAUACCCCUAGAUGUACUAUAAUGUAGGUCUGUCUAAUUUGUUGUGUGAUUCAACUCGAAACAGAGCUUCUCUUCAAGUUUCUUCCUUUUAUCUCUAUUUUCUUUGGGUUGAUUAAUAAAUCGGCUUGUCCGAGUGUAAUAGUGUCGCCCCUUCCGCAAAUUAUUCAUAUCCCGUGUUAAUGGAGUUUAGUUUCUCAGAUGUAAAGGAUGGUUGAGUUUUUGGAUUCAUCUCGAUUAACUUCAGAAAGAUUCAGCAAAGUUGGCAUAUUUUAUCUUGAAGAUGAUCCAAUAUCUAUUUAAAGUUGAUUGAGUCUUCCCGGAAUUAACUGUCGGUGUUUGAUGAAGCCUUUGCUCAAAAGCAUGGUUAUGGCGAAGUAUAAGAUCAAAGGUACAUAAUAAUGGUGGUUCAGCUGUUGAGGAAGAGAAGAUUAAAGCUGCGUUACAGGCUGGAUGAUCUUGCCGGCGAGGAUUCCGAAAGAAAUCGACGGAGCUAGUACCGAGAUCGCAUGACUUUUCCUUAACACGUGUAAUACUUUUGGUGCUUAUCAUACACGUGUAUGGUUUAUAGCUUUUGUGUUGUAAGCGUGUAUGGUUAUUAUAUGUACUUUUAUCUUGGGUUGACAAAAAAAAAUGGCUUAAAGCGUUAAGGAGACUUCAUUCAUUUUACACAUUUUGCAUGCACAUCGAUGCAAAUACUUUUGAAUUUAUA
rnacentral:lncRNA from 1 species